rnacentral:lncRNA from 1 species
GCCGUAGUCACGGAGCGUCCACGGGGGCCGUCGAGGGAGGCCGCCCUGUGGGGCGCAUGGGGGCGACAACGGCCACGCUCGCAGGCCAGCGGGGACCCCUAGACCCUCCUCGUGGACGCCAGCCCAUUUCCCCCCUGAAGGAGGAAGGACCCCACAGUCCCUGCGGGCCUCCGCCGUCGGCGACCUGCCCCCCAGGGCCACCCCUUCCUGGCCCGGAAUGUCCAGGGGUUACCUUCCCAAACCCUCCCCGGUGUCCUGACGCCCCUCCCCGCAGAGUCGCGGCCCGGACACGCAGCCCGGACACCAGUGGCCGAGGCCCCUCCGAGGGACAACCCCACACAGCACCCGGUGAGGCCGCAGGACCGCCGCCGGCCCCGCGCCCCCCGCCCUGAGCGAGGCGGCGAUGACAGGGCCCGGGGCUACAGGGACGACGGGGACACGGUGACCACGUGCGUACAGAAAUGCCACCGGUGUUUAUUCAGGAAAACGUCAGCUCACGACGUCCCCGUUAGAGAAACCCUCCAUAAAACUGGAAAUCUACACGUAUGUGCGUCUGUGCGGGCGGCGACCGCACCACACGAUCCAACCCGGACUGCAGAGCCCACGGAUCCGGCGCGACCCCGCGCUCCCCGAGCCCCGCGCGCGCAGAGCGGAGGGCGCGCCACAGACCCGGCGCACGCGCGGAGCGGAGUACGGAAGCGCCGCAGGACUCAGCCUCCCAGACCCCUGAGGCGGCGAAAAGGGGUUCUGCGCAGGCGCGGAGUACGGGAGUGCCGCAAAUCCAGGAGGUCCCUGGUGCCUGCUGCGUGUGGCCUGUGACGCCAUCAGGAGGCGUCCGGAAGCGCCCGGGCCCGCGACCCCGCCCCCCCCAUCCCGCCAGGUCGCCGCGAGAGAAGGUGGCUGCCCCCCCCGCCCCUCCGUAUCGCCUCCCUCCGCGUCCCCCACCGCUCGCCCCCCGCCGUCCGGACUCGGGGCUCCGCGCGGCUCCGUCCGAGGCUCUGGCGCGAUGCUGCUGCCGGAGCCGCCGCCUGAGGAAACGGCCCCGAGCGGGCGGACGUGCGGGCUGCGGCGCCCGCGCUGCGCGUGAGAGCGCUCGGCCGCUCCGCCCUCCCCGCGCGCCGGCCGCCGCGUCACGGCCGCGUUGGUAACCGGGCGCCCAGGCACGGCCAUCGGGGCGAGCAGAGGCCACCCGCGGGCGGGCCGCGGUUGCACGAGGGGGCGCGGCUGUGCGCCAGCCUCAACUCGCUGCCUCCCUCUGCCCCGACUCGCUCCCGCCUCCUGGGCGGGGCCCGACUUAGCCUCCGCCCCCCCUUCCCUCCCUCCCCCUUCCCUUCCCUCCUUCCCUCCCUCCUUCCCUCCCCUUCCUCUCCUCCCUCCCUCUCCUUUCCUUCCCUCCUUCCCUCCCCCUUCCCUUCCCUCCCUCCCUCCCUCCUUUCCUUCCCUUCUGCUCUCCCUCCCUCCUCUUCCAUCCUUCCCUUCCCUCCUUCCCUCUCUCCUUCCUUCCUUCCCUCCCCCCUCCUUUCCUUCCCUUCUGCCCUCCCUCCCUCCUCUUCCAUCCUUCCCUUCCCUCCUUCCUUUGCUUCCCUCCCUCCCUCCCUCCCUCCUUCCCUCCUUUCCUCCUUCCGUCCCUCCCUCCUUUCCCUUCUCUCUAUUUCUGCCCAGCCUCUGUCCUGCUCCCUGCAUUCCAGCUUCACUGAGCUGCUGUGGUCCCUGAAAGACAUGGUCCCUCAUCAUUCCCCAUCUCCGAGGUCACCUGUCUGGGAUGCCCUUUCUCAUGCUCCCUCCUUCCUCCCUCUGUGCUGUGUCUUCUGAGACCGCCCUCAGAGGCCACCUCUCCGCAUCCCUCCCUGACCUGGAGGACAUGUGCAUCCCUUCUCUGUGGCCACAUCACCACACAAAGACAGGGUUCUCUGCCCGAUGCCCGUAAAAAGCCAAUGAUCACACCACCAGCUUUUUCGAGGUCGGCCAGCCAGGAGGCGGGAGUCAGAGCUCUCAGAGGAUACGGUGUGGACACUAGUUCAUACCUCCAGCUUCUCCUAGUACCGUGCCCAGGCUGGCAGACACAGUGGACACUUGCCGCCCAACUGACACGCUGAGGGUCGGAUGUGCCGCAUUUGCAGGGUCCGCCUGCCCCACCUGCAGUGGGUCCUGUGCUUUGGGCUCUGGCCCCCGUGGGAGCAGCUGCAGUGGACGCUAGGGGGACACCAGGCUGGUCUUCAUCAGUCACAGAGACCACUCUCUGUCCAGAAGUAGGAGUGUGUGACACCUCUAUCCUCGUCACGCCUACGGCUGACCUCGACCGGUAACCACAGCCUGCGGUGCUCACAUUCCCAGGAGACAGCCCAGCAGUCCCGUCCCAGUUUGUCAGGAUUGCCCACCACGCACACGCUUCUCCUGUGUCUAGGUCCCAAUUCUGGCACAGGACGCACCACAGUGCUGCCACGUUCCUCCUCCUCUGGUCCCAGGCUUGGCACUGGCCACCCCACAGCAGCAUGUCUGUCAUGGUCUCCAGCUCAGCUGUGCUGGCUUGUGUUGUAUCACAGCUCUGCCCGAUCUUACAUACUUAUUCUAAAUCUCUCCUCCAAAUCAGGAGAGUACCUCGAAUAAGGAGGGGUCUCCAAUGGUUUGAGAGUCAGAGUUGCUUUGGAAACUAGAUGCAGGCCCCCCCGAGAGGCUCCAGUCCUGGAGUCCCCACAUGUCAUCCCGUGUUCAGAGAUGCGGGCACUACAGGCCUGAUGGGAGGGAGUGGCUGCCGUCCCUAGAUGUCCACCUGCGCUGCCCUCUCCCUGCUGGAGAGAGUGCCUUAGGGCAGAUGCUGUGACGAAGGUCAAAGUGACCUCUGCGUGUGAUGUCUGCCACUGGUGGCCCCAGUUGCGUAACUGCAAAGAGAACCCCAAGGAAGGGAGGGAGUCGCCCCAGGAUGAGGCGCCUGGUAGUUGCUCCUCUGGGUUGGCCCAUGGGCAAGGGACUCCCUGCGUGGUGGGUGUGGGGUUCCUGCCAAGUCACCGCCCAUAAGGCGUUAAUGAGGCGUUUGAGAUGAGGCCCCUAGUCUGGGGGUCUCCCCUUACUGGAGCCCCCUGAUCUGAAACUCCAAGGGGCCCUCCGGGGUCAGCUCCCUGUGGCCCCUUGUGUGGCACUCCAGGUGUCUCUGUGCACACUCGCCUCUGUGCUCUCCUGACCCCUGACCUCUGGACUGCGAAUGUGCAGGGAUGAACAUGGUGCGAGCCCAGAGCAUGGAGCAGCUGUGAAGGGACAGGCCUACAGGCCUGAUUCCCGAGCCUGGCAGGGCCGGCAGAGGAUCAAGAGCAGGCAGAGCCGAGCUGAGCCCUGACCCAGAAGGGAGAGGAGCGUCCCACUCCAGCAUGAGGGACCCCAUCCCCCCAGGGCGUGGCUGCUCCAGCCCUCCCUGCAGUUCAUUCUUUUAUCAGCAAAUGUCCCUGCAUGGGGCUUUGGGGAGAGCUGCUCUCUGGUUCCUGGGAGGUGCUCCCUCCGGGCACCCCUGGGUCCUGGCGUGGCCCCGAGAGGCUCAGAAUCACCCAGCAUUGUGGGGCUGGAGUCUGGAGCUCAGCCUCUCCCUCAGGCCUCCCUCAGGGGUCCUCUUGCCUCAGCUCACUUGAGAAGGCCAGUCCUUCCAGGUCUCCCAGGGCCUCCAGUGGUGUCAGAGCCUGACACUGGCCAGAAACCCCUCCCACGAAGAGACGCCAGGUGAGCGUCAACUCCAGCUACCCGGAACACCAGCCGGGCUCCAUCCUCUGCACCCUGUGAGUGGGGGUCUGCCUGGGGCUGCAGGCCCAGUGCGGGGCAGUGUCCGGCCUGAGAUGAGCAGACAGGAGGGCCACCCCGGCCCGCAGAGCAGCAGCUGUCUGCCCGCGCCUCGUUGCCUCUCGUGCAGGUGGCUUCACCCACACGUUGCACCGUGUGUACAGGGAGACAGUGGCGCUCUCCCGUGUGCACACACCACUCCUUCAGAAGCAGCACGUGCCCUUGAGCCUGACUCCGUCCCCAGGAGCCCGUGGAGGCACAGCAGGGCCUCUGGCCACCGCAGCAGGAGGAGCUGCAGCCUCUCUGUCAGCUGGUGGUGUCUCAGGGAAGCAGUGCAGAUGGGGUCUCUGGACCUGCUGGGGGCCUGGAGUGGUUUCUGAGCCCCAGGGAUGGUGAGAAGUGAGGUAGGAGGCCGGUGGAGGGAGGAACAGAGAUCCCAGGCUGGCAUUCGCAUCAGUGACCAGCCCUGCAGGCAGCUGUGGUCGAGGGCGCGCGUCUGACUGGAGCAGGUGCAGGGGUGAAGUUCUCUCAGGCAGACAAGCAUUCAGUCCCGUUUUCCCAGGUGUACUUAGCACGUCGGCACCUCUGCUAAUGGCAGCAGCUCCCUGCCCAGCCAGGGGACCCACCCGGAUGAUCCCCUCCCCCCUGGGCCCAGUGGGCAUCCUGCCGGAGAACUGGGGCCAGUAGGCUCCUGGGGUCCCCAGUGCCCCUGCCCAUCGGCCCAGAGAAAGGAGGGCUGGAGAGGGCGGGUUCCUGGCCUCUGCUGGCUGGGCCUGUUAGAAUUCAAGGGUGGGCCGUCUUCUGUGUUUCAGGCUCCAGGACACUCAGGGUCAUCAACUUUGUUAAAUUUCUAAUCAGAAAAGUUCUGACUCUAGCACGACGGUGUUUCCCUUUCAUACAGGAUCAUGAGCCUCCCAGGUGAUGGUGAAAAUUGUAAAAUUUUAUUUAAAAUACAUUUAUUCCUUCAUUAUGAAAGUAACAGAGAGAAGGAACACAUUUCUGAAGCCAACAUGGUCUGUUAGUUAAUUAAAAUUAUAAAGUUUAAAAUGGUGAAAGUGAUAAUAAAAAAUAAGGAAGCAGACAUACUUUGCAUAUAUUUUUAACUUAAAACUUAUAAAUAUGCAUUAAUUCUUAAUAAGUUCAUGAGAUUUACUUUUCAUACAAUGAAAUCUUCAGAUUCUGACUGUACGUGCUGAUAAGUUCUGAUAAAGGUGCACAAUCAAUGGAGAUGCAUCAAGUUUCCAUCACGCUAGAAAGGCCCCUCUCCCCUCUGGUCAAUAUCCCACCCGGGGCCGCCUCACACCCAGAGUGACCUCACAACCAGGGCCACUGCUCACCUAGGGCCACUGCACAACCAGAGCCACAGCACACCCGGGGCCACAGCACACCCAGAGUGACCUCACAACCAGGGCCACUGCUCACCCGGGGCCACCACACACCCAGGGCCACAGCACACCCGGGGCCACAGCACACCCAGAGUGACCUCACAACCAGGGCCACUGCUCACCUAGGGCCACCGCACACCCAAGGCCACCGCACACCCAGGGCCACAGCACACCCAGAGUGACCUCACAACCAGGGCCACUGCACACCUGGGGCCACUGCACACCCAGAGUGACCUCACAACCAGGGCCACUGCUCACCCAGGGCCACCGCACAACCAGGGCCACAGCACACCCAGAGUGACCUCACAACCAGGGCCACUGCUCACCUAGGGCCACCGCACAACCAGGGCCACAGCACACCCAGAAUGACCUCACAACCAGGGCCACUGCUCACCCGGGGCCACUGCACACCCAAGGCCACCGCAUACCUGGGGCCACCCUCUGCUUCCUCUGUCAUCGUUUGGGCAGCUCUGGCCUUGACUGUAUUUUCGUGUAGGGUGGAGACUAGUCAGCCGGUCAGGACUGGAGUCUUAUUUUCAUUUUUGGUAUAAACCACGUGCUUACUUCAUCCCCUAAGAUACCCACUUUUGGUACUUUUUUUUAAGUACCAGGACUGAGACUUGAAUAUGUUUGUAAAGUCACCUGAGACCAGAAAUCUUCCAAAUUUUCACAAGUUGCUUUUCGUAUUUUGAGGUAUCUUGUCUGCAGCUAAUUCAAAAGCAAUUUUUAAAGUGACUUCACUUGCCUUUGUCUUGAUUUCCCAAACUGUGUAUUGUAGAAACGACUUUCUCUCCUUUUACACGAUGCGUAGCUGGUUUAUGUAACGUUUGGUCAAGUUACGCGGUAGAGCAAGAGCAAGUGGCGUAGAUGGGUGGGCGCGACCUGACCGCGUGGUUGGUGUCACCCCCACUGACACCUGCGUCUUACCGGGCUGCUGAGCCCCGAGACCAGAGCCGCCUGAGCUGGUGGAGCAGAGGUUGGUGUGCGAUAGGUUCUCGCACACAAAUGAAUAACAACAGAUGGGAACACACACACUGGUCCUACACUCCGAGGCAUCUCUGCACAACGCCUGCCGUGUGGUUUCCCAGCCUCACGUGUGUGUGUGUGUGUGUGUGUGUGUGUGUGUGUACGGUUAGCCUUGCUGCAGGGCCCAAGGGAGCCGCCUGUGCCCCCAAAACUGCCUUCGCUCUGACAGUGACCACACGGAAUGAGGUUCUCUGCCCGGUGCACAUAAACAGCCACUAGUCGGGCAUCAGCCUUUGCGAAGAGACCAGCUUUAUUCUGCGAGGCCGACCUGCAGGGAGGCAGGGGGCCCUCAUCUGUCUCCCCAGAGCAGGAUUUGGGGUGAAAUUUAGGGGGUCUAGACAACAGUUAGGCACGCGCAAACUCUGGGGGGACGGGUUUCCAUUGCUGGGCUUCAAGCAUUUAUGACGGGGUUCUAACUGUUUACGACGGGGCUCUAGACAUUCUCUGUGAAUUUUAACACUGGAUCUUCCUGAACCAGGGCCCUCGCUUCUGAUGAGAGCCCGACCUUCAAACUCCGGUCGCAUUCUGUCCUUGGGUUCCGUGGGAAGGGGGAUCUUCGGUUCCACGGUCAUUUCAAGUCAAGAUUUCCUCUUCUGCGCGUGCUCUGGCCACGUGACUUGGCACGUUUCCUGUUUCCUGAAAGGCGAUUCUCAACCUCUCUGUUGAUAAGAGAUGGCUCAGUUGACCUGGUGCUGGCGGGCCUGCGGUUACACCGCCAGCCGCAGGCUCGGGAUCCCCAAGGCGGUGCUUGGUGUGACAGCUCUCUGGAAGGGCCUGGAGCUCGCUGAGAGCUGAACCACGCAUGGCCAUGGUUCGUCACAGGGAAGGGACACAGAUGAAAACCGGCUCAGGAGAGGCGCCCGGGCAGAGUCUGAGUCCCCAGAUGCGGAGCACCCCCCUUCUUCCCAGCUCACCCCACAGACACCUUCCUGGAACGGAACUUGGAUAGCGGCAUGUGGGUGUGGUUCCAGAUGCAGACUCUGAGAUGAGAUUUGUAUGAAGGACAUGCUCCCCGGAAACGUGGCUGGGAGUGGGGAGUGGACGGGGAUGGGGAGGAGGCGCAUGCAGGCCUGUGGAGGGACAAGGGCUCCAUCCCGUGGAGGAACUCCGGACUCUGCAGGUCAUGGCUCGCAGGUGUCCCCAUCUGGAGGUGAGUGGCUUUGAGUGUUUGUGCCCCUGCCUGGCAGUCACCUGUUAAGGGUUGUAAAUCGCGACAACCCCAGCCCUCAGGAGCUCAGGGAAGGGCCCUCCUGUGGCCGGAGGGCGGCCCUCUGUCAAAGAUCCCGAUGAUGCCCCAUGGGAGUGGGGUCCUAGAGCCCAGGGGUGUGAGAUGGCGGAUGGAGACCUGGACGCGCAUCUGUGGCCGUUAUCAUCAGAGACCCCGCAUCCAGAGGGGCUAAUGGUUUUCUCCUCAGACAAGUGAGGGCUCCUGGUGUGACUGUCCGACCUCACGUGCCAGUGGGGUCAGCACCCGGCCCAGAAGCAGCAGCUCAGCAGCCACCUGCCGUCACCCUCGCCCCGACUGUGGUCACAGUGUCCCCACACCUGGGCAGAGAUGGGGCAGUGUUUUCUCUCCUUCAGAUGCCGCCCAGGCCCAGGCUUUGCCCCAGAGCCUGGGGGCCGUGACAAGAUCACCACGGACUGCAGGACUGCCUGCUGUCUGCUCCAUCCCACACAGACUGUUCCCCCGUCCUCCCUCCUGUCUGGUUUGAGAUGCCAGCCUCCGUCAUCCUGACCCCCCAGUGGUCACAGCCCCGGCUUUGGGCAAAGAAGGCAGCACGUUCCGACUGUUCCCCAUCUUCUGACUUGUCCUCUAGCAAAGGGGGCGGAAUGUGUGACCCCGGAAAUGCCACUUGGGCGAGAUUGUUUGAGCUGAAGACCCUGGAAAAACAGCAGGUGCCAGAAGAGUGUUCUGAGCCCCCUUCCUUCCUGAGGGCAGGAGGUAAACCAGGGAGGAAGGUGUCGCCCCGCGCCGGGAGGAGGGAACCGUCAGCUCCAGAGGGGAGCCUCCGAGAAUUCUGUGCAGCUGACCUCACCAGAGUCACUCUCGUCUCCGUGCUCUCUCCAGGUGUCUCUGUUACUUUCCUCAAUCUCCUCUCCUCCUUCGACCCAGCGAAAAGCAUUUGGUUUUGCCGCUUCCCUGGGUCUCUAUCACCCUCAUGAGGCCCCCGUGUCACUAAAACUUACGCUACGUGAACCUGGAUGCUUUCCUCCAGCUGCUGUCUCAGCAGCUCAACUCUCAGGCCGCCGGGCCCCGCGAGGUGGAGGUGACGAUUUCCCUCCCCAACGCUGGGCUCUGCACACGACCAGAGUGGGGCCUGUCUGUCCCGCCUUUCACUGUCCCAGCUGGGGCUCGGAGUGCACCAUCAAUGUCCGUGGUGUCCGUCCCGGGCCCCGUGUCAACCCAACCCCAGGGGCCUGCACGUCUUCCCGUCUCCUCCUCGUGACCCCUUUCUUCGCGUUUGUGUCAUUCAGUCCACGGUUCGGCUUCUCAACACCCAUGUUUGUGGGUCCCUGAGUGUGGCCUUCACCUCAGGAUGGGACCCAAAGGAAAAAACAGGAAGGAUUUGUAAGUCUAACCUCACUUGAAAAUAGUACAUGAGCGACAAGCAGAUCACAGAGCUAUGACAGUUACGUAAGAAGUCCAGUACCUCAAUGAGUAAAGAGCUUUAAGAGACGAACAACAAAAUGGACCACAGGGCCUGGGCAUAAGUGUCACAAGGGAGGAAAAGACAAAUCGAAACACGUUCCUCUUCUCCCAUCAGAGGGCAGAGCUGCAGGGCCUCACCACCCUGUUGGCAGGAGAACCUGAAGGGGUGCGAAUGGGCCUCCCAUCUGCCCUGAGGUCGAGGCUGUCGCCUGCGUGGAUCUGGGCCUUGUCCUGCAGAGUCACUGGGAGAAAUACCAACCUCGUCCAAAAUAAGAGGACAGCGCCUCUCGUCCGGCUGCGGCCUCCUGAGCUUCUGGUGUCUCCUCUCUGUGUGCCCCCCGCGGGGCUCCAUCCCUGUCUCCUCGUCUGUCUGUCCAUCUGUCCUGCAGGCAGGGAGGCUGCCCUCACUCCCCCUUCUCCUGGCUCCUCAGUGGGCUCAGGGUCUGGCUUGUCUGUCCUGUGGGUUUGGCCUCUCCAGCCUCUUCCCGUUCUCUAUCCACCCUGACCCGGUUCCUCAGGAGACAAGGCCGGGGUGAGUGGUGGGGCCGGGGUCAGAGGGGUGGUGGGACCGAGGGCAUCUGUGCAAAAUCAACGUGUUGAAACGUCUAACUGCGUGUGUUCACUUUAUGUUUUUCCUCUCACCCUCAUUUCAAGUCUGUGGUUUUCGUAAUUCUGUGGUUCAAGGCUCGGACGUCUUAUAAAUCAGAAUUCCCCUGAGGUUAACGGGUACCAGACUCAUGAAAGGAAAACCUGGCGGGGGUCGUGCAGGGAGAGCCUUGGAGAAGCUCUGACCUAAAGACGCAUCCAGAGACCGUUUCUCACCAGCUCUGGGUAAUCAGCACAACCAGGGAAGAGGCCCCUCCCUGUGUCUCCCCAGACUUUCCCGGCCGCCAGAGACUAUCAACAUGCCGCUGUUUGCCCGGUAGUGUUAUUGUUUCCCUCUCUCCUUCUUCGUUUAUUAAUACGAAUUUUUCUGUGGGGAGACAGUGUUUCUUCUCCCACGUUUGCUUGUUUGAAUGUGUGUUUAUAUCGAUGUGGACUCAUGGACAUUCCAGUCUGUGGGUGGUGAUCCAACAGUGUUGUUAUUUUUUCCUCAGAUCUUUCCAGCUUUGCCAUUGGGAGCCCUGUCAGAUGCCUGAUAUUUACUGCGUGAUGUCCUCGGGGCCACCCUGCUUCCCAACGUCCCCUGGGCAGGCGAGAUGUGGGGUUGGUGUCCCCGGGGAAGAGGGAGUCAUCGGAUCCUGGCCCCUGGAGGGCGUUAUUGCACAGAGCCAAAAUCAAAAGACAAACACAGUGAUAACAAUGGCGCUAACAGUUUCCGUCUACUGAGUAUCAGGUGCCCUGAGCACUCGGGCACAUUUCUUACUAAACCUCACUUUACAUAAACCCACGGUCUCAGUUCCCUCAUCCUGGUUCUGCACAAGAGGGAACCGCGUCUGGGGCUGCAGGGCCUCAGCUCGGUUCAUCCGCCUGAAGGUGGGGGCUUCCUCCGUGGUGGUGGUUUCCACUGGGACCCUCGUCACCAUCACCGACACCAGCACUGACUGUGCCCCAGGUCCCUUAACACGCGCCCCACCCCAGGGGCUUGGGCAGCUGGUGAAGACAGCUUUCUGUGCUCACACUGGCACACGCUGCUGCCUGCUUCCUCGUGGACCUCGGAGCUAAAAAUAACCACGUGUUUUCUGUUUUAAUGGAAAAGAGGAAGUGUGCCAUUUAUUGCAUAACACUUACUAUUUUUGAAAACCCGAAUUUUUUCCACAUGUACUUUUAAAAAGUCCUUGGAGGAAAAGGCACAAAGUGGAUUUCACGGAGGGUUGCUCUCUUCGUAACCCAGAUCCUCAAGAAACAACUGAAUCAGACACGAGGCGGAGAUGGCAACCUUCCCCGGC